ensembl:lncRNA
CUCAAAGAUACUGAACUGGAUUAAGUGGCUGACUUCCUGGGACAUGACAUACGUGUCCACCGUGAUCACUACAGACUCCCUGAGGCAACAGUUCAGCUUGCAAAUAUCUACUAAUUACUUUUGGCGAUGGACAAAGGCUGUCUUGGAAGCAUCCAGGGAAAGUGUCUUGAUGACAUUCAAAUCAAAGAUCAGAUCCAGUUAACUGAUACUGAGGCUGACACGGAUGACGAAUCUGCUUGUGCCAGUUCAUUAAGCAAACCAAAAGAGAUUUCAGCAUCAACAUCAGAAGCCUGCCUGAAUGGAGUGAACACCAGAAAGAGCUCCAGAGGCAGGGGCUUACCCCUCUUCAGGAUGCUGAAAGACACAUUCAUCUAGGACGAGAUAAACACACAGUUUCUUCAAAAUAUAUUGAUGGAAUUAAAGGACAUGGUGUUUUUGCAGAAGAUUUCAUUGGGAAGGGAUCCUUCAUUAUCGAGUACCACGGAGCUCUGUGUGAAGAAAACAAGUUUAAUAAAAUCUCAAAUCCAUACAUAUAUUAUUUUAAAGAUAAUGGAAAAGAUUAUUGCAUCGAUGCAUCACAUGAUGAUGAUUCACUGAGUAGACUAGUAAACGAUGACAAGAAACCUAAUGCGAAAAUGUUGAAAAUAGAGGUGAAUGGCAAUCCAACCUCUGUUUGUUUGCAAUUAAA